rnacentral:rRNA from 1 species
AUGACGUCUCCAAGCGCUCCCAAGGACAAGUUUUUCGAGAGGGUUAUCAACCCCUAUCUCGCGGAGGUGCUGCAACACCCUCAAACCAUUGAGAUGCGUGAGGGGGUUCUGCACAUCCGCGAUGUGGAGGGACCAAGGUGUACCGGAAGCGUGGAGACAAAGCUCGAAGCCAUGGAGCAACAAGUUUUCAAGUGCCAAGGGAUGGUGGAGCGUGGACUCAACGCUAACCAGAUGAUGAUCACGGAGUUCACCAAGAACCACAAGCUGGAUGCCAAGAUCAUUGGGGAGACCAUCUUUAAGCUUCAAGAGAAAAUCGAGCACCUCCAAGCCCAGAUCUAUGACCUGCAAAACCAAAACUGUGAGUAUGAAUAUAGAUUCAAGAGGAUGAGUUUGGCUGCAGAUUUGAGGAUCCCGGAGACUCGAUCAUCCUUCUAUGAUGGUGAGCCUAUGCCUUGGAAGAUGGACGACAAGCCUACAUCAUCAUCAACUCCUACUUCACCACCUCCGAGGACAUAA